rnacentral:rRNA from 1 species
CACUAGUGAUUUUGAAAGGGAAACGAUUGAAGCCAGUCGUACCUAUGGGUAAUCAGCCUUUUGGGUGUGAUUUUGUGGAGCGUGAGGAGUUAAACGCCUUCAUGCCUGCAUAUUCGUGCACUUUGGGUGUACUUGCCCGUGUGUAAGUUAACAUCAAUUUUGGUGGUCAUAAAAUGGCUGGAGGAAUGUAGCUUCGAUCUUGUAUUGAAGUGUUAUAGCCUUCGGUAGAUGUGACGAUCGGGAUUGAGGAUUGCAACGGAUACCCUUCGGGGCUACCUGUCUGAUCUCUGAUUGUUGCUCUGGUGCCGAAAGCUUGCUUACGGUUAUCAAAGUCGAUGGUCAAUAGGUUAGAAUGGGUUAAAUUCGUUAAGGAUGUUGACGUA